rnacentral:rRNA from 1 species
UUAGUGGCGAACGGGUGAGUAACGCGUAGGCAACCUGCCCUUUAGACGGGGACAACAUUCCGAAAGGAGUGCUAAUACCGGAUGUGAUCAUCGUGCCGCAUGGCAGGAUGAAGAAAGAUGGCCUCUACAAGUAAGCUAUCGCUAAAGGAUGGGCCUGCGUCUGAUUAGCUAGUUGGUAGUGUAACGGACUACCAAGGCGAUGAUCAGUAGCCGGUCUGAGAGGAUGAACGGCCACAUUGGGACUGAGACACGGCCCAAACUCC